UCUCUUGCAAUGAUGCAGCAGAUAUAUCAUAUGUUAUAUAAAGUGAGGCUUUUACAAUGGGAGAGAAAAAUGACACUUAAUUUGCUGCAGGUUGUUAUAUACUGUGAUAAAUUAUUCCAAAGAGAAUGAGUUGGAGAUGCACUCUGCAGUUUUUUGCAGUGCCUCAACAACCUCAGACCAGAGAUGUCCUUAUAAGCUCAAAACCCUUGGGCUUAUGUAAGUCCCAAUGAACAUUGGACAGUCUAGCUAGCUCACACAGAAAUCCAUCACGACUCAGCAUAUGGAAAUCAAUUUUCCCAAUCGACGUAGAAGAUCAUGUGGCAAACUUGAGAUCAUGGUGCUAAUAACUUUUGAAUCAACAACUGCAGUUCCAGCAGCACGUUUUGAAGUCAGAACCGUCCCGUGGGAGUAUUGGAGCACUUUGUGACAAACCACUUUGCUAGGGCAACAAGGAGAUAACAGCUACUGAUGAUCCAGCGCACUUGGCUCAAUAUGGCAACAACGUUGGAGGUAGUGGUUAGCGUUUUGAUUAGGCUGAUAAAAUGGGCUACAUCCUCCAAGUAGAAGAGAAUAACCCCAACAACGCUGAUAUUUUGCUGUUUGAUAGAACCUACCCAAACGUUACCUCUAUCACUACCCGCUACUUAAACCACUGAGCUACUGGAAAUAAGGAGUACAAAAGCAAACAUCUCACGCACAAAAUAGAGGAAAGGCAAAAAAGGAGAAAGGGAAGUUUUCCAUAGAAGAUGUCCGGUUUUUUCACCAAAUUGAGACCCAUAUGGAAGCCGAUCAACGCCAAAUAUUUACACAACGUUUCUGCCAUCCCAUGCUAUACAUCGAAUGGUUAGAUUAUAGUUUUGUGCUCCGAAUGUUGGUAAUCUCUAUUUGUAUGGAAAAUGGUUUGUUCCAAACAUGUUUGAUGUUGUAAAGCCUCCAGCAUUGUUUGGAGAAGGACAACUUGUUGUAUCCCUUCAUUAUUAUUGAUUAGUGGAAGGGCUUAGUGCCGGCUUAUGGUACCCGUGGUUUUUUCU